UCUCACUGCAGCUGCUUGUCGAAACUACAGGUAGCUGAAGCAGGUCCUGGAGUUAUUCAUGGAGGAAGUCCCAAGAACAGAAAAUUGGAGGAGAGGAGUAUAACAAGAACACACCAUUUCUCCCUCCCAAUAACUAGGAAUCUCUGAGGGACGGAAAGUAGCAAAACCCAAUUCUCCAUCCUUGUAGCAGGCAAGGAAAUCCUGGAUGUAGGAGAGAAGGCAGAAAACUCCUUCUCCCUUCCAGCACAGAAAGGAGGAACCUCCCCCCCUAUAGAAGCCUCAUUUAAAGACCCAGCUUGUAGCUGAUUGGAGGAUGCUUGACUAAAGGUCAUCAUGGGAAAUGUAGUCCUAAACUGGAAGCUAAAGCUUGGGAUAGUGGUAUAGGAAAACAGAGGCCAAAACUCACAUCUUGAACUAGGGAUGGAACGGACUCUCACUCCUAGCAACACCUCUUGGAAACUGACACUUCUGCACUCUGUACAGUGUGCUUUGUUCUUCUGCUCCUCCCUUGUUCUUAAUAGCUAGAAAACCAAACCCAAAUAAAAAAUCAUAUGCUCAGAAGAUCAAAUCCAUUCUGCAAAGCUGCCCAUCACUUCAUUGCCUAUCCUGCUCGCUCAGAUGUCUCUGCAAUUGACAGUUCUAAACAAUGCAGGGAUG